GAGAAAGAAUACUGUUACCCAGCAGAUGAUAGCAAAUACUGUGGAAUGAUUUCAAGCCUGGAGCUGUAGUAAGGAAGCAGAAAUGAGACAUUUUAGUGCUUGAGGAUGUCAUUUUGCUGCUGUCUUUCUCCCUGAGAAUAUAGAGUUGGUCUGUUCAUUGGCUUAAGCAGACCUUGGAUCAACACUUGCUACUACCAAGCCUUGGAAUCCAAACACUUCAGCAAAAUACUAAUCCCAGCUGUAGGCUGUCGGCUGAUUCUGUGGUUUUCCUAGGAGAAGGCUGAAGCAGUUAUUUGUUAAACCUCAUAGAAGGAUCGAUGUCAAAGCAAUGCUUAAAAUUUUGGAUGACUUGUCACUCAAACUGACAGGUGCCACCUCUCCUCACAGAAAUCAGAAUGAGAGUUGUGCUGAAUCCACUGUCAAAAUGGCACAGCCUCUCUCCUUCAUGGCAUUGUCUAUGAUGAUGAGAGCUGGGACAACUGCAGGUCACCAGAGGAUGGAAGCAUCAUGACAGAACCCUUUUCUGUUUGUCUUUGGUAUUCCUUGUCACAGGGCUUAAGAAGACAGCUUGUUUCCCAUGUUUGCCCAUGAAUAAAUUCUGUCUGUGAAAGAAGAGGGUGGAGAAGGGCAGUAUUUCCAGCUGUUUUAAAAGAUACAAGACCCAGAAAGAUUCACAUAUGCCUAGCUUUUCAGAGAGCAUGAAAUAAGAACAAGAUAAGUGGAAAGAUUUCUAUAUCAAAGAAGUUUUCAACUGACUGGUUUGAGGCUUGAUACUCUGUCAUGAUUCAAAGAUGAGAGGAUUAGGUUAAACAAACCUUUCUUUUAGCAGCAGGUAAGCAGAUAAACAGUACAAUAAUGUAAGAUGGUUACUGCAUCUUAAGUGGGAUUUCAUGUGUGGUGAAAUAAUUUGUUGACAGUUACUCUGAAUUUGAGACACAGACCAGAGUAAUAGUGUAAAAAAUAUUGAGGUUUUGCUAUUGACUUUAUUAUCAGUGGAGAAAGCAGUUCCUUAUCAGAAUGGAGAAAACUUGAAAAUUCCUCCACAGACUUGCACAUUUGAAGUUGAACAUGAAUUUUGAGUAAAUAAACAUGCAACUGCUUAAUCUUAAUAGAAGAGUUGUGAGAACAAAAUCCUUAGUUUAUGUAAUUGAAUGUUUGUUUGGAAUGACUGGUGUAUUCCAACCUGUAAGAUGUGUUUUGCUGUGCUAAAUUAAAGAAGCAAUGAGCUCCUGCUUCACUCAUUGUAGCUUUUCCCUCCCUGGCAGCCAAGGCAAGAGCAGGGAGGG